GAAGUAAAUGAUCAAAUUAAUUUGUAUCAAAUUAAUAUAAUUUGUUAAACAUUUGUAAAGUUGUCAGUAGUGUUUAUUCAGCAGGCUGACACAUCAGGAUGAAAACUUUUGAACUGAUAGUUCUCCUGGUUCUGUGCUCUGCUGCUCUAACCUCUGGGAAGAAA